AAGUCGUAACAAGGUCUCCGUUGGUGAACCUGCGGAAGGAUCAUUAACACGUAUCCACGUCACCUGUUGACAUACACCAAACCUAUUGUUUAUAUAGUAUUUGGAACUGGUCGCUAUGCACUCGUUUGCAUAGAUGUACUGGAACCGGUACUCGUGCACUAUAUUUUUUUUCCCAUUCCCUUAUAUAACUACGCCUUGACUCAAUUGUAGUAGGUCUGGUCUUCGUGACUGGUCUAGUACACGUUUGCUUCUGUUUUUUCGAAAACGGAUUCAAAUGCCUAAUCAAAAUGGACUGAUGCAAAGCAUCUGAUAUAUGAACUUGUUUCAUGUAUUAGAAUGUGAUGACAUUUGUAUAUAUUCAAUAUAUAUGAUCUAAUCACAACUCUUAGCAAUGGAUACCUAGGUUCUC
rnacentral:misc_RNA from 1 species